rnacentral:rRNA from 1 species
GGUAUCAGAAGUGCGAAUGCUGACAUAAGUAACGAUAAAGCGGGUGAAAAGCCCGCUCGCCGGAAGACCAAGGGUUCCUGUCCAACGUUAAUCGGGGCAGGGUGAGUCGACCCCUAAGGCGAGGCCGAAAGGCGUAGUCGAUGGGAAACGGGUUAAUAUUCCCGUACUUGGUGUUACUGCGAAGGGGGGACGGAGAAGGCUAUGUUGGCCGGGCGACGGUUGUCCCGGUUUAAGCGUGUAGGUGUGUGUUCCAGGUAAAUCCGGUUCACUUUAACACUGAGGCGUGACGACGAGGCACUACGGUGCUGAAGCAACAAAUGCCCUGCUUCCAGGAAAAGCCUCUAAGCAUCAGGUAACAUCAAAUCGUACCCCAAACCGACACAGGUGGUCAGGUAGAGAAUACCAAGGCGCUUGAGAGAACUCGGGUGAAGGAACUAGGCAAAAUGGUGCCGUAACUUCGGGAGAAGGCACGCUGACAUGUAGGUGAAGUGAUUUACUCAUGGAGCUGAAGUCAGUCGAAGAUACCAGCUGGCUGCAACUGUUUAUUAAAAACACAGCACUGUGCAAACACGAAAGUGGACGUAUACGGUGUGACGCCUGCCCGGUGCCGGAAGGUUAAUUGAUGGGGUCAGCGCAAGCGAAGCUCCUGAUCGAAGCCCCGGUAAACGGCGGCCGUAACUAUAACGGUCCUAAGGUAGCGAAAUUCCUUGUCGGGUAAGUUCCGACCUGCACGAAUGGCGUAAUGAUGGCCAGGCUGUCUCCACCCGAGACUCAGUGAAAUUGAACUCGCUGUGAAGAUGCAGUGUACCCGCGGCAAGACGGAAAGACCCCGUGAACCUUUACUAUAGCUUGACACUGAACAUUGAGCCUUGAUGUGUAGGAUAGGUGGGAGGCUUUGAAGCGUGGACGCCAGUCUGCGUGGAGCCGACCUUGAAAUACCACCCUUUAAUGUUUGAUGUUCUAACGUGGACCCGUAAUCCGGGUUGCGGACAGUGUCUGGUGGGUAGUUUGACUGGGGCGGUCUCCUCCUAAAGAGUAACGGAGGAGCACGAAGGUUGGCUAAUCCUGGUCGGACAUCAGGAGGUUAGUGCAAUGGCAUAAGCCAGCUUGACUGCGAGCGUGACGGCGCGAGCAGGUGCGAAAGCAGGUCAUAGUGAUCCGGUGGUUCUGAAUGGAAGGGCCAUCGCUCAACGGAUAAAAGGUACUCCGGGGAUAACAGGCUGAUACCGCCCAAGAGUUCAUAUCGACGGCGGUGUUUGGCACCUCGAUGUCGGCUCAUCACAUCCUGGGGCUGAAGUAGGUCCCAAGGGUAUGGCUGUUCGCCAUUUAAAGUGGUACGCGAGCUGGGUUUAGAACGUCGUGAGACAGUUCGGUCCCUAUCUGCCGUGGGCGCUGGAGAACUGAGGGGGGCUGCUCCUAGUACGAGAGGACCGGAGUGGACGCAUCACUGGUGUUCGGGUUGUCAUGCCAAUGGCACUGCCCGGUAGCUAAAUGCGGAAGAGAUAAGUGCUGAAAGCAUCUAAGCACGAAACUUGCCCCGAGAUGAGUUCU